GAUGAACGCUGGCGGCGUGCCUAACACAUGCAAGUCGAACGGAAAGGCCCUGCUUUUGUGGGGUGCUCGAGUGGCGAACGGGUGAGUAACACGUGAGUCACCUGCCCUUGACUUUGGGAUAACUUCAGGAAACUGGGGCUAAUACCGGAUAGGAGCUCCUGCUGCAUGGGGGGGGUUGGAAAGUUUCGGUGGAUGGGGAUGGACUCGCGGGUUACCAGCUUGUUGGUGGGGUAGUGGCCUACCGAGGCAUCGACUGAUAGCCGGCCUGAGAGGGGAGACAGGGACAAUACGCCUAAGGGACGGACCAGAGUGCUACAGGAGGCAGCAGGGGGAAGUAUGACACAGUGAGCGCGAGCCUGAUACGACAGCGCCGCGUUCGGAAAGAACGCCUUGGGGUUAUGAACCGCAUUCGCCUAAGACGAAGCGUGUUUGACGGUAAUGAGUAAAGAAGCACCGGCUAACUACGUG
rnacentral:rRNA from 1 species